UAAAGCGUGCGCAGGCGGUUAUGUAAGACAGAUGUGAAAUCCCCGGGCUCAACCUGGGAACUGCAUUAGUGACUGCAUAGCUGGAGUACGGCAGAGGGGGAUGGAAUUCCGCGUGUAGCAGUGAAAUGCGUAGAUAUGCGGAGGAACACCGAUGGCGAAGGCAAUCCCCUGGGCCUGUACUGACGCUCAUGCACGAAAGCGUGGGGAGCAAACAGGAUUGAUACCCGUGU
rnacentral:rRNA from 1 species